rnacentral:rRNA from 1 species
GAGUUUGAUCUUGGCUCAGAUUGAACGCUGGCGGCAGGCCUAACACAUGCAAGUCGAGCGGUAGAGAGAAGCUUGCUUCUCUUGAGAGCGGCGGACGGGUGAGUAAUGCCUAGGAAUCUGCCUGGUAGUGGGGGAUAACGCUCGGAAACGGACGCUAAUACCGCAUACGUCCUACGGGAGAAAGCAGGGGACCUUCGGGCCUUGCGCUAUCAGAUGAGCCUAGGUCGGAUUAGCUAGUUGGUGAGGUAAUGGCUCACCAAGGCGACGAUCCGUAACUGGUCUGAGAGGAUGAUCAGUCACACUGGAACUGAGACACGGUCCAGACUCCUACGGGAGGCAGCAGUGGGGAAUAUUGGACAAUGGGCGAAAGGCCUGAUCCAGCCAUGCCGCGUGUGUGAAGAAGGUCUUCGGAUUGUAAAGCACUUUAAGUUGGAGGAAGGGCAGUAAAUUAAUACUUUGCUGUUUUGACGUUACCGACAGAAUAAGCACCGGCUAACUCUGUGCCAGCAC